CUCUCUAAAUUGUUCUUGAGCUCUACAUCUUCUCUAAAUCUAACAUGGUAUCAGAGCAUCAAAGAUCCAAUCAUCUCUUCUCUGUUGCUGCUCGCAGAAUGCUCUUUUUGUGAAGGUAUGUAAAAUAAGAUGGACUCGAUGGAGACAGAGGCACUCACUGAAGCUGUUACUAAAGCACGAAAUUGGUCUCGUUUAUUUCACUGGGGUUGCGAUCGGAGUUUGGAAGCAUGAGAGCAUCCGUCCUUCAUCGUACUCCCACUCCACCAUUAGAUGAUUGCCUCUCAGAUCUUCUUGCUGAAGAAACUUGCUUAAGCUCUCUUGGGGUUUACAAAAUCCAUAUCACAAGAUAUCACUGAUGUAACCUUAGCCACGUCCAAUUACCCUAAUAAAAAUACCAAUUAUGUCCAAGUACGGUGUUACAUAUGCAAACAAAGAGGCCACACAGUUAAUCGGUGCAAGAAGCACAUUUUUUGCAAUUAUUGUAAGAAGUUCGGGUAUGUAAUAAAUGAUUGUCGAAACGCCUUCAGGGACAUGGGAAGCCUCCUAUACCUAGUUCGACUCAAUGGGCUGCAAUUGCCUCCAUUCUUAGUCCCACUAGCAUGGAGAAUAUCACUUUCAGUCUCUCUCAUUAUGCCUCCACAUCGGUUACCCAUGUGUCCAUGCCCGAUCUCCACUCUAUUGAUUCAACUGCACUCUAACAACUUGCUCAAGUUUUAGCCGUCAUGGGUUUUUCAGGAUCUAGCAAUAGGGAAAGUGAAUGGGAGAAGCACUACGCAGGGUCGGCUUUUCACAAUUAGUUUCAGUGAAGCUCCUUCUCAUUUUUCACAAGUACUGUCGGUUUGUCAUCUUUCCCCUUCUCCUCAUGAAAUAAGUCAUUCAAAUUCUCUUCGGUAUGUUUGGCAUUGCACGUUAGGCCACCCACAUUCUCAAAAAAUGCUUUCUCUUUUAAACUCUGGGAUUUUACCUGUUGUCUUCUCUCAUAAAAAAUAUGAUAAGAAUAUUGUUGUGAGAGUUGCAAGUUGGCAAAACAUUUGGCUCAACCUUUUCCUCAUAGUAAUAAUAAAAGUAUCCAUCAUUUCUCUUUAGUGCACUCUAAUGUUUGGGGCCCUGCUCUUGUUCCGUCAACUAAUGAAUUUUCUUAUUACGUGAUAUUUAUCAAUGAUUUUUUUAAAUAUACUAGGAUUUAUUUUCUCAAACACAAGUCAAGUAUGUUUGGUGUUUUUAAAGACUUCUAUAAUAUGAUAAAAAUUCAAUUUGAGAAAAACAUUAAAGUUUUUAAGUUUGAUUCUAGAGAGGGGGGGGGGUGGUGGGAGUAUCUAUCUAAUGAAUUUCAAGCAUAUCUUCGUACAAAUGACAUUAUUCAUCAACGUUUAGGUCCUCAUACCCAGGAACAGAAUGGAGUUAUUGAAAGAAAACAUCGCUAUAUUCUUGAAAUCACUCGUUCUCUUCUUAUUAGCUCUCAUUCCCCAAAGAACAUUUGGGUUGAAGCGAUGUCUACUGUUGUCUAUCUUGUUAAUCUUCUUCCUACACCGAUUUUGCAAAAUAUGUCACCAUUUCAAAAGCUUUUUUCAAAAAAUUCCUGAUUACUCAUAUUUACGUGUGUUUGGAUGCAUAUGUUUUGUGUUUUUUCCAUCUUCUACCCGUAAUAAACUUUCACCUAAGUCUGUCAAAUGCAUGUUUGUAGGUUAUCCAACAAAUUAAAAAGGAUAUCAUUGUUUUGAUCCUUCUAUUAACCGUAUUAGAAUAUCCCAUCAUGUUACAUUUUUCAAGCAUAUACCCUUCUACCAACACUGCCCACACCCUAAUUCAAACACACGUGGACCUGAGUUUUCUUUUUUUCCUAUUUUCGAUAUUCCUCCUUCUCAUUAUCAUGAAAAUAAAGGAUUACCACAUUCAAUAACUAACUUUGAUGAGUGUCUUUGUCAACUGCUGGUCUUGUAUCACCUCCAGUUGUUGAUCAUUCUACCGGUCCUAUUCACCUUCGACGGUCACUUCGAAAGCCCACUCCACUUGAUCAUCUUAACUUACCAGUGGUUAGCCCAUACCAUACUUGUUCUCCUGCAACCAUUACUAAUCUAUUGUUUCAUGAGUCAUCUUCUUGUUCUCAGGCAUCUAACCUCCAAUGCUGACGUAUAGCUAUGAAUGAGGAAAUUGCUGCUUUAGAGGCAAAUCACACUUGGGAUUUGGUCAUAUUGCCUCCAGAAAAGUAUGUCAUUGGUAAUAAAUGGGUUUAUAAAGUCAAGUUACGAGCUGAUAGCACUCUUGAUCGGCACAAGACUCGAUUAGUUGCUCAAGGUUUUGCCUAGGAGCAUGGCAUCGAUUAUGAAGAAACUUUUGCUCCAGUUGCUAAAAUGACAACUAUUCGUACUUUUAUUUUGCACUCACAUCUAUUCGUGAGUGGCCCGUAUGGCAGAUGGAUGGAUGUCAAAAAUACAUUCCUUAUGGCAAACUUCAAGAGGAAGUUUACAUGUGUCAACCAAUUAGGUUUGUUUCUCAAGAUAAAUCAUUGGUUUGCCGACUUCGUGAAGUAAUUUACAGUCUCAAACAAGCUCCCCAUGCGUGGUUUGAGCGUUUUCAGGCUGUCAUUCUUGCAACUGGCUUCACUCAAAGUAAACAUGAUCACUACAUGUUUAUUCGUACCACAAAGCAAAGAAUUUGUAAUAUUCUAUUAUAUGUUGAUGAUAUUCUUAUCUUUGGCAAUGAUUUCACUUCCAUUAAGGAUGUAAAGCUACGAUUGCAAGAAGAAUUUCAAAUGAAUGAUCUUGGAGGAGUAUCUUAUUUUCUUGGCUUUGAGAUCUCUCACUCUAAACGUGUUAUUUACAUCCGUCAAUAGAAGUAUGCACUUGAUCUUGUUUCCAGUGCCUAAUUGAAUGAUGUAAAGGUUGUUGAUACACCUAUGGAACUCAAUGUUAAACUUUCUGCACAUGUUGGCGAUCCUCUUCUUGAGCAUAUGAUGUAUCGCAAACUUGUCAGCUCCCUCAGCUAUCUCACUAUGAUUCAUCCAGAUAUUGCAUAUGUUGUCCAUAUUGUGAGCUAAUUUGUUUCAGAUCCUCGACAACCACAUCUAUCAACAGUUCAUCGAAUUUUAUACUAUGUUCGAGGUACUUCCAUUCGUGGAUUAUUCUUUGACUCCACAUCCUCUUUAGAUCUUAGUGCAGAUGUCGAUGCAGAUUAGGCUGGUGAUCCAGAUACUUGCCAUUUUACUAUAGGAUAUUGUGUGUUUCUUGGGUCCUCAUUAAUAUCAUGGAAGAGAAAAAAACAAGAAACAGUUUCCAAGUCAAGCAUUGAAGCUAAGUAUCGUACUAUAUCUUCUGUUGCUAAUGAGAUUGUUUGGGUUUGUGCUCUUUUUAAUGAAUUUGGUAUCUGUAUUUCAAAUCCCACACAUUUAUAUGCAAUAACCAAAGUGGAAUUAAUCUAGUUUUUCAUGAGCGAAAAAAGUAACGUCGAUUGUCAUUAUAUUUGUGAUCGUUAUCUUGAUGGUAUAUUAUCUCUCCCUUGCGU